CCCGGUGGCCAUACCGGAGGGGCCACACCCGUUCCCAUCCCGAACACGGAAGUUAAGCCCUCCAGGGCCGAUGGUACUGCGCUGGCAACGGCGUGGGAGAGUAGGUCGCUGCCGGGA
rnacentral:rRNA from 1 species